rnacentral:lncRNA from 1 species
AGCUAUUGUGUGUCCAAAGAGUCCUCAGGAAGAGAGGCAUGGAUACUCUUCAGCAAAGAUGUAACACAACAGGCAAGGAGACGGAUCCCAGAGAGACUGCUGGAAUAAAUUUGGAGUUGAGUGAGAAAAAAGAUGGUAGGCUUACACCUUUGGCAUUUACAUCUAACAUAUUUGAAACCAGUUAACAUCAAAUUAUGGAAUGUAAAAGCAGUUUAUUGAAUUCUUGGGAGCUCUUCAUUAAGUUUACUAAUAUCACAGGAUGAGGUAAGAGAAGAUGCCGUGCAGAUGGGAAACACUGGUGAGAGGGAUGAAAAGGAAGGAAAGGAAGGAAGGAAAGGAAGGAAGAAAGGAAGGAAGGAAGGAAGGAAGGAAGGAAGGAAGGAAGGAAGGAAGGGAGGGAGGGAGGGAGGGAGGG